rnacentral:sRNA from 1 species
UCCAGUCCACCAUGGUCCUCGUAGCUGU